CAGUCGCCGCGGGAAAACGAAGGGGGCUAGCGUUGUUCGGAUUUACUGGGCGUAAAGGGCGCGUAGGCGGACUGAUAAGUCAGGAGUGAAAUCCCAAGGCUCAACCUUGGAACUGCCUUUGAUACUGUUUGUCUUGAGUUCGAGAGAGGUAAGUGGAACUGCGAGUGUAGAGGUGAAAUUCGUAGAUAUUCGCAAGAACACCAGUGGCGAAGGCGGCUUACUGGCUCGAAACUGACGCUGAGGCGCGAAAGCGUGGGGAGCAAACAGGAUUAGAUACCCCAGUAGUCCCUGUCUCUUAUAC
rnacentral:rRNA from 1 species